rnacentral:rRNA from 1 species
GAUGAACGCUGGCGGCGUGCCUAAUACAUGCAAGUCGAGCGAACGGACGAGAAGCUUGCUUCUCUGAUGUUAGCGGCGGACGGGUGAGUAACACGUGGAUAACCUACCUAUAAGACUGGGAUAACUUCGGGAAACCGGAGCUAAUACCGGAUAAUAUUUUGAACCGCAUGGUUCAAAAGUGAAAGACGGUCUUGCUGUCACUUAUAGAUGGAUCCGCGCUGCAUUAGCUAGUUGGUAAGGUAACGGCUUACCAAGGCAACGAUGCAUAGCCGACCUGAGAGGGUGAUCGGCCAAACUGGAACUGAGACACGAUCAAGACUCCUACGGGAGGCAGCAGUAGGGAAUCUUCCGCAAUGGGCGAAAGCCUGACGGAGCAACGCCGCGUGAGUGAUGAAGGUCUUCGGAUCGUAAAACUCUGUUAUUAGGGAAGAACAUAUGUGUAAGUAACUGUGCACAUCUUGACGGUACCUAAUCAGAAAGCCACGGCUAACUACGUG